rnacentral:tRNA from 1 species
GCCCAGGUGGUGGAAUUGGUAGACACGCUAGAUUCAGGGUCUAGUGGUGGUGACACCGUGGAGGUUCGAGUCCUCUCCUGGGCA